CUUCAGCGAACCCAGCCACAGCGGCUGGUCUUCGGGCCGGCCCUGCCCGUAGGUGGCCAGCAGGGCUUGGGCUUC
rnacentral:antisense_RNA from 1 species